rnacentral:rRNA from 1 species
AUGGCCAUGGUCGAGAUGCAGCCACCAAGACCCAAAUCCCGCAAGCCAUCACAGACGCCAAUCACCGAUCUCUUGGAGGAAUUUGCUGAUGUUUUUGACGCACCCAAUGGUCUGCCUCCUCACCGCCAAUAUGAUCACGCAGUUACCUUGGAAGACGGAGCGCAGCCAACCAACACAAGGCCAUACUGCUACUCUCCUCUGCAGAAAGACGAGAUAGAGCGGCAAGUGAAGGAGAUGCUCGACGCCGGAGUGAUCACGCACUUUGUCAGUCCGUAUGCGGCGCCGGUGCUGCUUGUGAAGAAGAAGGAUGGCACUUGA